CUCAAUCCAAACAAACCCACAUUAGUAUUAUAUAUUCAUCAAGCUGAAGGCAAAGGAGUAUAACCAGAUUCUUUUUCUGGUACUUUUUUAGACAGCAUGUUGCUGUUGUGAUGAGAUUUAUAGAACGGCAGCAAAAGAGAAAAUAGAAAAGGUUGAUUAAGUUUAAGAAGCCAAGCAGCCAAUAAUAGUAGUCAAGAUGACCUUCAUUCAGGUUGUUGGCCAACCAGCUUGCUUUACCACCAUGACUAGUAAUGCUAUUGAUAAUAUUCACCAGAAGACUUCCAAUCAGGCUAGCCAGAGCCAUCCCAAAUGUGUACAUAGCCACUCCAACACUGGACAUGCUCUUGGGGAACAGCAUGUAAAAGAACUGUAUCUGUCCAAUUGCGUUUAAAGCUUCAGCCAAUCCAAUGCAUACCGUCUGUGGCACUAACCACAUAGCAGACAUGUCCAGGACAGCAUCAGGAUCAUCCUCAACCCCUCCUCAACUGCUUUUUUCAGCCUUAUGCUCUCGACUACGCCUGCCAAUACCAUUGCGAUAAAUGACAUAACCAGCCCCAUGCCCAUCCGUACUAUGGGACUUAGUCCUUGCGGAUUACCAGUAUAUCUCGCCAAUAGCAGUGCUAGUACACGAUCAUAAAAUGCGACCCAAAUUGUUAAAGUAAUUAUCAUGAACAGACUAAAGGAUCCUGCAGGAAUUUCAAAAUUUGAGAAUUCAGGAACCCAACUUUGAUCCAAAAUCUUAAGCCAUUAGGUUUUAGCCCCUUACUUACAUAUUAAUGUUCUUUCUCCAUCUCUCGGAUCAAUGUGAACCUUUUACUCAUGAAUCUAACAAAUCUUCCCCUUCAUAAGUAAUCAUCACAUUAAAUCCAAAUUUACAAGCUUUUUUUCGAGCCUACUUUAAUAAUAAAUUCAAGCCCACCUUAUCACCUAAUAUCACCUUGUCAGGACUUGAGGACUAAAUUGCAAUUAGGCAAUAAAUAACAAUUUUUGUUAGUCUGUUAGAAGGUUGUUAGCAUUAAUGAGGUCAGGAGGUUAGUUAGAUUACAGAAUGAAGUAGCAGUGAUCGGUUAGCUCACUCUUAUAUAACGAGCUCAGAUUGUAAAAGGAAAACAAGUUGAUUGAUAACAAAUUGAUUCUCCUUUCUUUCUCGUUUCCUUUAUCUCUCUCUCAUUCUAUCUCCUUCCCCUUAUUCCCUCCCUUGUCUUGUUUUUCUCCUUCAACUGCUCCCUUGUAGAUUCUCAGAAUUCUACUUGAAUUCAUGACACACCUCUUCUCCCAAAUAUGGAUCCACUAUUUUUUAACAUCCAAACUGGAUUUUUUGGAUCUCUACCAAUCCUUGGCUCCAUCUCACACCAACCGAACCCCAGCCAAACCCAUAGCGCACCUGGUCCAACACUAACUAAACUCUUUAGCAUUUUGGUCCAUCACUAAAAAGAGAAUUUUUCACCAAUUCAACUCCGAAAAGGAUUCACUUGCCCAUAAAUAGCCCAAUCUCACAACUUAAAACUCUGAUACCGAUUUGAUAAAGGGAAACACCUAUCAAAUGAGAGUAUACCAAAGAGUCCAAUAUAUAAGUCAGGAAUCCAACUCUAAUCCAAAAUAUUAAAUUAUUAGAUCUUGGACCCUUACUUACAUAUUAACUGCUCUUUCUGCAUUUAUCGGACCAAUGUGGGACAUAACCCUUUACUCAUGAAUCUUAAUACCUUUGAAUCGAAAACAGCCCCUAAUCCAAAAAUUUUAAAACCAAGAAGUUCUUGUUUCCCCACGACCUUGUAAAUAUCCCUCCAAGAGAGACAAAACAGCACAAUCUGUCGGGGUAUAGCAUAUGUUAUCAUGAAAAUUAACUUUUUUUUUGUUCGUGGUUAAAUAAGGGAGGUGGAUGUGUUGGAAAACUUUGGAGGGUGGAUCUGUUGAGAUUUGAGAAGCAAAGCAAGCAGGUGAAAGGAUUAAGAAAUUUAAUGGUAAUCUCAAACUGCCGUGAUUUGUUGCAGGACUAAUAUUAAGGGGUGGUUUGAGGGAAGUUUCCUGACAAUAAAGAAUUAUGAUCAAGAAAUGCUUUGUUGCCGGAGUAGGAUUAAGAUGGGGCUUGCCAAACUCUUUCAAAUAUGCAUGAAUAUAUGCGAUUUAGAAGGGAAGAAUAUGCAAACUUGAGUUUGAUUGAUGGAUUUGACUGACACCCCAUAUCCUAAGAGACAUUUGCCAUCAAAAUAGAGGAGAUAACAGAACCUUUCUCUAAAGAAAUGAAUGGCAAAUCAAGUAGAAAAAGCAAAGAAAAGAGAUAAAUCAGAGCAUAACAUUUCGCAAUAUUAGAUUAAGAGGAGGUGACAGAGACAGCCUAAUUACAAACUACUAAAUGUCACAUAAGUACAUCAAUACAUUUUCAAUUUGCGUAUACAACAAGGGAAAUGGGCCGUUGCCUUUUUUCCAAUCAAUUGCAUGCAGCCAUCUAAUCCCUUUUUCCUCGUUAUACCAUCAAUAAUUGAAACUCAGAAAGCAAGCCAGCAGUUUAAAAAACAAUAAUUACCUUCAUCCACUAGAACUUUGCGAAAGAUCCAAAUACCGCUUCACCAAUUGUUAGUGUCUAAAUGCCUGCUCAUUUUUCAAGCCCAACCGUCUUGUACGUUGGAUCGGGCCGACUCACUGCUAGCUUGGGCUAUUGUUCCCUGUAUAAACAUUAGUAAUUCUAGCUUGGGAUUCAUUUUUCUUUUUUCUUUAUUAUAUUUUUCUGUAGUACCAAAAAAGAAAACUUUUUUCCGCUUGGUUUUGCUAAAAUCAGUCAAAUCUUGCUCAGAAGACACUUUUUCCCUGUUUCUGACAGAUUAAAGCCCUUGCAUAUUCAGGCAUCAAUAAUGCAUAUCAGCCCCACUGCACGUGAAUUUGCCAUCCAAAUUAUUACCGAUCCAUUCGAUAAAUUAAUUAAUUAGAGAGUAAAAAACAAAAAAAAAGCCAUUUGUGGUUAAGCAAAUAUACAGAAAAGUCUCCGUAGUUUCAAAACAUACAAUUUGACAUAUCGUUAUUGGAACUAAAUUAAAAAGGCAACGGAAAUCUUCAAAACUAACGUGUGUGUAAGCACACGGGCUUGUUUUGCAAAUAGUUGUAUAUGAAAAUAGUUUUUUUAUAAUUAAUUUUUAAUUGAUAUACCUAUUCCACCCCUGACGGAAAAAAUUUCAUGUAGUUAACUCAAGGAGAAAUAAUCAAACAACAAGGUGUUGGAUUGUACGUUUUGAAACCACGAGAAGAUUUCUUGUAUAUUCGCUUAAUCACAUGUGGUUUUUUUUUUCACCUUAAAUUAAACUCAUUCAUCUUUUUAUACCAUCGCAAGACCAAAAAAGAAAAAAAAUUAGUAGCUAGUUUUCUAGUCUAGGAAAGAAUUUACACAUUGGAGCACUUUGGAUAUGGUUUAAUGCUAAUUGAUUCGCAACAUUUGAGUAUUUUGGAAAUGAGAAAUAAUUUUUUUUUUCCGUGUGUUUUGCAAGUGAUUACAAGGGACUUCAAAUCCGGAUUUGUUUGUCAAUACGAAGUGUUCAAAUAUAACAUUGUGGUUAAUGUUAAUAGAAUUUCAUAAUGGAUCUUCUGUCCUAUUUUUUAUGUCAUUUUUCGUCUCACUUUUUAUUAUAUUACUAUUUUUCCUUCAUAAACGUCAUAUUUUAGUUCUUUUUUAUUUUCUAAAGAUCCAAUAACUAUUAAUUGGGUAAAACAAAUACGGCAAUUUAAAAAAAAUAAAAUUAAAAAAUAUAGCAGAGAAUUCAUUAAAAAUUUUCAUUUUUAUGCAUUUUGAUUUUUCUGAGUUUGUUAAAUUUUAUGUAUUACUUAAUUAGUAGUUAUUGGAUUUUUAGAAACAAAAAAGAAAUAAAAUAUUACGUUUAUAAAGGAAAAAAUAUCAAUAUAAUAAAAAGCGUAAUAGAAAAUGGCACAAGAAAUGAAAUAGAAGAUCUGUUGAGACAGAAUUCUAUGAAAGUUUUAGUCGGAAUAUGCAUCAUAAAAGAACAUAUAUCACCCUAUUAUGGUAGAGAUAACAGAGUGUUCUAAGACCCAAUAGAUUUUGAUAUAGGACAAUUUACAUUCACAUGUUCAACUCUUAAGAGUUCAAAUAUAAGUUUACUGCAUGAGCUUUGAAAAAAUUGCACCAAGUUACCAAAAGGUAUAGGGUGAAUAUUCUUAAUGCUAAAGUUUUGGAUACCUCAUGCAGAAAAGAAUAGCUUUUAAGAAAAAAAAAAAAAAAAAGAACAGGUAGUUUUAACUUUUAGUGUGAUCAGGAUUUAUAUAAGUCAAACAAUCCCUAUACCAAACUUAGAUUAUUGGAUAGUAUUAUACCAAUGUAUAUGCAACCUCAAAUAUGAAUUAAAAGACCAAGCAACAAUUAAAACUGUGCUAAAUUAACAGAUAACAAUGAGCUGAAAUUUUAUUUUAUUUUAUUUUUUAUCCAGUGUUCCAAUCUACAUAAGGAUCAAUACAAUUCUCCACCUUUUUUAUUUUGUGGUUAACCCCAAGGAUUAUUGCGACUACCAUAUUACCCCAAUAUCAUAGACUCAUAUUACAUUUUCCUAACCCACAAAAAAAAAAAGAAAAGAAAAACUCAUAGUGCAUAAUACGUACCCUCUACACUAAUACAGAUAUAUCAAGACCCUUAAAACCCUACCCAUCAAAAAGAGAGAAGUAAGUCAGGCAGGUCAAUGGGUCCAUUUUGACCAAAUUUGACAGAUGACCUUAAAGCCGUAAGAUUACUACCCUUUAGGACCGUUGAUCACCCGUCUUGAGUCAAAUCCAACCGUCCAUUUUCCUCCUGCAGAAUCUUCAGAAGUUGGGCCGCUUUUCUCCUGCCCCUAGCACUACAAUCACCUUGAAGAGCUAACAUUACCGCACGCGCCACCUCCUCAGGAGGCGCCACCACCGCCCCAUCAGUACAGCCACCAAAAAUCACCGCCAGGACACUAAUGGCAUACUCUUUACCUCUCCCCUCCAUCCUCCCCAUCACCUCCACCAUCAUCGGCACUGCAAGAGCGUGAGACCUCAGCUCCGCCGCCCCUUCCGCCACCGUGCAGAGCAACUCCAAUGCUGCCAACGACCUUUCUGCCACCGCACCCUCCAAAUCCGCCAUUGCGUCCACCACAACCCCAACUGCCCCGGCUUCGACUGCUGCAUGUCUGUUACCUUCGACCAAACAUAGCGCCAAUAAAACUUUACUGGCCGACUUAGCCAUGACCCUUUCUUUUAGGCAGCUCACCACCCAUUUCAUCACCGUAGCCGGGCAUGCCACCGCAUCUCCACCGUCCGCGACUGCGCGUGGGUUUGGAACGAGUGACUUUUCCAGCAAGUGUAGCGCGCCGAGCUUGUCUUCGUCGGAUCCAGAGCUGAAACGAAGCUCCGCAACGUGAAAAGUUUCUUCCAACUUGGUAGCAGAUAGUGGCGGCGGCGGCAGAGAAUCAGGCGCUUUUCUUGGUGGGGUGGGCUCCGAAAUCUUCGGCUUUUCUUGAGUUUGCUGAUACGGGUGGAUAAGAUGGUGAGAGAUGGGGGAGUUAGUCAGCGGGAACCUCCAUUGGGUGAAGCUCUGGGAGGUGUUUGAGGAAGAUGAGGAUGAUUCCGAAUCGGGUUUGGUCGGUGCAUGUGGUGGAUGAGAGGAAGAAGGUGGAGGAGGGAGAGGAGGAGGAGGUGGUGGUGGUGGUGGUGGUGGUGAUGUUGGUUUUGGCGGUGGCUGAUCAGAGGUGGCUGGGAAAGGGAGUGCUGGAGGAGUUGUGGUGGUCGGACUGAGCACUGUUUGAGUACAGUUGCGAAAAAACCCGCAAGAAAAAAGUGGACGCGGCGCAGUUUUUAGCUUGGGGUGUUGAGAUUUCAUUGUGGCAAUAAUAAUGCACGAAAACACUUCAACAGUAGUGCAAUUUGUGCAGCAAAAGAGACUUCAUAACAUCAUCAUAAAAAACAAAUAAAUAAACAAGCUGAUAAUCCUAAAACUCAGAUUUAUGUUGCUUUUACUGUGUGUUUUGUGAGUGUGACAGUGCGUGAGCCGUGGGAGUGAAUCUGCUUCUAUGAGUUGUUGGUUUCAGAGAGUAGUUUAGUGCUUUGGGGUCGUGAGGAGGGUCAUAGUUACCGACAUUUUAGUGAAGUUUGGGAGAUUUGAACUGUGAAAGUAUGAUUCUUUGGAUCAAUCCAUUUCAUCUUUGAUCACUUGGUUGAAAUGACAGCGUAUCUAACUAUCAACUUGGAUGUGGGGACUGAGGACAGAUUCAUACCAGCCUUCCCUGUCUCCUUCUGAGGACGUACCUACAUUAUUGAUCACACACAUUUGAGGAAUGUUAUGGUAUGAAAGAAUUACUCUUGGGUUCCUCUAUUUGCAUAUUCUUUCGACUUGGUUUGUCAAAUCUAUGAGAAUCUAAUUGCAUUUUGCAUGUACCUCAGUACCUCACUAACAAACUUGCAAAACAUUUUUGGGUCAAAAUAUUGGAUUUAAGAUCAAUGCAUGGUUGUCAUUUCCUUCUUUCUACUCCAAUUUUUGCCUUGAAUCCUACUAAAAGUACUGCAACCAUCACAUUUUCUAAACCAUGCAUAGGAUUUGUAAUUUAGAUCGUAAAUUUCCAAAUCAAUGGAAAGUAAGGUCUCAUUGAACAAUUUAAUAUAACUAUCAUGGUUGAUGUGAUAAUGAGUAAAAACUUAUCAAUUUACUAUAUCAUUUUCGAGUGUCCAAUUAACAUACCAAGAUUCUUAUUGUCAACUUUAUCAAGGGUGAGUCACAUUGUCAUGAACUGUCGCAUGAGUACUUGCUUAGUAAUUUGGAGUGAAUCUGGUGAGAUAAAGUAAUGCACUUGAUGGAUCCUCACAGAAAGAAGUUCAAGAUGAGUGAUCUAAGGUGUUCUAAAAUUGUCAUGGUUUCUUUGUCUUUGGAAAGAGAAAAGGUUAAAUCAUAACUUCACAUCAGGCUUCCCAACAUUCCCAUUUCCCUUCCCUUUCUAAGCAUCACAAGAAAGGGCAGUAAUUAUUUAGUUGCCUAAUUAGUAACAUGUAUUACAUGAGAUCUGAUUGUUUGUACAUGUGCAUUGGAAGAAUAAACAGUCUAAUGAAUUUGGAAUUGUGGCAAUUUUUUGUCCUCCAAUAUCACUAGGAUCCUCUACGAUAUUUACUUAGAAUUAAACAUACUUAGAUAACAAUAUAUUAAUGCACUAAAGGGAAACAGAUAUUUUUUGUACAUUUAUUGUUUUGCUCAGAAAUCGUAACAUGUUCAACAGUUUAAACAAGAAAAACGAGGUUUGCGUGUAACAUUUGAGUCACAAUUGGAAAUAACUAAAAUUAGACAUUGAAGAUCUCAUUUUAAUCAUUAGUCUUAACUCUUAAUCUACUUUGAAGUUAUAAAUAUAUGUACUCAUACCCCUAGGUUACCCUCCAUUUCAUGUGCCUCUCGAUUUUGCUGUGAGAUAUCUUUUCUACAAUUUCAGCUAAAUCAAAUGUUAGUCGUGAUGUGCAUUUGAAGUUAUAAGAACUUUGCUGGAUUAUUGUGAUGGCAUCUUUCAGGAGAUCAUUGUCAGUGGUGCCUCAACAUGGAAGUUCAGCAGAUGAGGAAGAAUAUGCAGUAGCAUCUUCAUUACCUAAAUCAUCAUCGCUGAACUCAGAUCACCUGCCAACAGGUGGUUUAUUUCUACGUUCUUUCAGUUCAUUAGACUAUGCACUGUACAAACUUCAAACACUCAUUCUUGGCUUAUUCCCUAAAAGAUCUUCUCGACCCUUAGAAAGGUUCAAAUCAAAGGGGAACAGUUGGAGAAGGGCUCUUCUCCAUUUCUUGGUAUGUUUCCUUAUUGGCAUACUUAUUGAGAUUACACCAUUUGCUUCACCAACUUUUUCCAUGAAUCUUUUGGCCAAACAUCAGCCUUUCUCCUUGGAGAUGCUUCAACAAGUCAAUACGAUUGGGUUUUAUCAACAUGAUGAUCCAAAAAAUUUUACAUCUGCAGUCGAAAGAGUCGAAAUAAAUGAUAACGAUAAACCCAAAUCAGCAGGCGCUACUGAUGAACGACAAGACGGAUUUCCUGUUGGUGAUCAUCUAACUGAUAAAACACUUUAUGAAGAUCUAAACACCACAUUCAAUAAGCUUUUGAUUAUUGUGACCCCAAUAUAUUCUAGGCCAUUACAAGCUUAUUAUUUAAAUCGUUUGGCCCAAACAUUGGGAUUGGUUCCGCCUCCUUUGUUGUGGAUAGUUGUGGAGAUGACAUCUCAAUCUGCUGAAACAGCCGAAAUUUUGAGGAAUUCUGGGGUCAUGCAUAGGCAUCUAAUAUGCAAAGAGACUUUAACUGGCGCAAAUGAUAGAGGCAUGCUCCUCAGAAAUGUAGGUCUUUCUCACAUUGAGACACACCAGCUUGAUGGUAUCAUUUAUUUUGCUGAUGAUGACAACAUGUACACCACUGAUCUCUUUGACCAAAUGAGACAUAUCAGGUCCUCUACUUUUUAUAAUUGUCCUUGUUCUUCAACAGCUUUUGCCAUUUAACUUGUGGUUCUUUUUUUUUUUCUUUAAUUUAUUCUUUUGUCCUAAAUUAAUUUUUUUUGUCCAUUUACCUCUUUCUUUCCCAGAAAACUUAACAAUAAUUUAAUAUGUGGCUCUGACUUGUCUCAAUCACUUGCGCGAAUGAUUUACAAGUCAACAUGGUUAUAAGUUUUAUUGCACAAGCUGCAUACAUAAUUUUCAAAUGAUUAUUUUUCUUUCAAUUUUUGUUUUCGGGCUCCUCAUUGAACAACUUUUUUUUUUCUUCUUUUGAUGACUGGUCAUCCAUCAUACUUUUUCUGAACUUAGUGGGUACCACUGAAACUAGCCAACUUGUUACAGACAUCAUACGGACCUUCUGCAUUAGAUUUGUUUUUGGAUGAUUACACUCUUUUCACUUGUAGCUUUUAUAUGGUUCUGUGUUCUAAUAGUUAGCUUACAAAAAUUUAAAAAGUAGGAACUAAAUGUUCAAGGGUUUACCAGUUUAGAAAUACCAGUCUUUUCUUUUCUUUUGUGUGUGUGUGUGUGUGUUGGGGGGGGGGGUGGGUUUCCUCUCAAUUGAUAGUUUUUCUUGAUUGUUAACUCUUGCAUAUGCAGGCGGUUUGGUACGUGGAUAGUAGCUAAACUAGUGGGAAAAAAUACGCAUGCGAUUAUGGAGGGUCCAAUUUGUAAUGGCUCUCAGGUUACGGGAUGGCAUUUGAAUGAAAGGUCAAAUAAGUUUCAAAAAUUCCACUUAGGAUUAUCAGGGUUUGCCUUCAAUAGUACUUUACUUUGGGAUCCAAAGAGAUGGCAUCGCCGCCCACUUCAGCCAAUCAGGCUGCAUGAUUCAGUCAAAGAUGCACCAUUCCCGGUGAGUUGUUUCUUUCCUUUUUCUUUGUAAUGUUAAUCAGCAUGAUUUUAUUCCUCCCCCCCGGGCGCCCCGGAGAUCGACUGGUUUCCACAGAGGCAGGUCACUGGAUCUACCCCGGGAGAGCUAACGUGCCGGGAACUUUGGGGUGGGGCUCUCAUAGUCACAUGAAAUUAGUCGGGUCCAAUGAUUCCGGACACCUCGUAUCGAAAAAAAUAUAUGUAAUAAUUAGUAAGGAUAAAAUUUAUAUACACCAAAAAAAUAUUCUUUAAGUGGGAUUGGAUGCAUCACAGCUAAUCACAAUUUCAAUUUAAAUAUUAUAUUUUGCAUACGUUACAUGUAUUCAACUCUAUUUGUAUAUUUAUUGUCAAUGACUCAAUGUAUAUUUAAUUAGUUUAUCCAAUUAGUGAAGAGAAGAAAAGAAUAGAGGAGAAAAAACACAUGAUUUAGAAGAGAAGGGGGGAAGUACCAAAUGCAAUUUAUUUAUUUGUUGUAUGUUUUAUCUAGUCAAGGAUGUUUAAGUAGUUUUGCAUAUAUUGCAGGUUAGCAGGUUCAUCGAACAAAUUGUGGAGGGCCAGAACGAAAUGGAAUGUUUACCACUGGCUUGCUCGAGGGCAAUGGUUUGGCGCCUUGAUGGGGAAUUUUUGUAUUCUUUUCCUCAUGAAAAUUCUACAAGAAGUAGCUUAAUUCUGCAUUGGCUGAACGGGGUAUUAGAUUUUGCCAUCAUAAAGAACUUGAUUCAUUAAGAUGUUUAUGCUUCCAGAUUCAGACAGCCAUUCUCGGAUUUGUUUCUCAUAUGAUUUUAUACUAAUUAGUUUCUUUACGUAUAACAAACCAAUGUCUAAUUAACUUGCAGAUCUGAUAUUGUAGUGAUAAUGUCCUUUCUUUUCUUUUCUUUUUCCCUUCUAUUUCUUUCUUAUCCAACGAAUAUCUCAUGUAUGCUUUUAAUAUAAUGUCGUAUGUGCAUACAGACGUAAAUGAAUCUCAUCAAGUCAAAUAUCUUAGUGCUCAAACUUGUUUAAUAAUUUUAACGAGCUUGAAGUUAAUUUUAAAUUUGACUUGUUUAUUUACCAAACUAAAUUCAAAUGAAUUUUAAUCGAAACGACCUCGAGAAGUUUGAAGUUUUUACCUAUAAAUUUUAAUUUUAUACAAAUCAAAUCAACUUGAAUAUCGAGUAACUUAUUUCGUCUUUGACUUCUAUAUAUGCAUGCAUGACUUUCAGUCUUAACGAACAUAUCAUCACAACCAACUGCAUUCAUACCAGGAUUGAUAUUACCGUUCAACAGCAUCAAUGUCAUCGGCUCUAAUCAACACCGUUUUCUUCAACUCUUCCAAUGAAGCUUUAUAUUGUUGAAGCUCCUCCAACCCCAUAUUAUCAAUUGGUUCAUCCCACCAAAAACUCCCAUUAUUCUCUACCUUCGACCCUUCAAUGGUUUCCUUUCUUUUUCUCUCAAUCUCCAAUUCUUCAGAAACUUUGGCAUAGUGUUGGUUGUGUUCUUGUAUCUCAGCAACCAAUGAGGUGUUCCGAUCAGCAACACAUGAUGAUGAUGCUGAUGCAGUGGUAUACUUGUUAAUAACAGCAUCAAUGUUGGGGUGGCCAAAUGCAAAUACACCCUUGCCCAAAGAAUGAACCAAUUGCAACUUCUGCGCCGGUUAAGAUGCAAAGUUCACUAGCUUUCUUCAAAAGACCGGCUCUCCUCUUGGAGAAGGUUACUUGCCUGUUGCUCAAGUCGUCUAUCAUCUUGAUUUCGAUCUUUUUCCGACCUCGGGUCGUCGUCUUCUUCAUCAUCAUGUUGUUCAUUCUGGGUUUUUGGUGGGAUUUUGAGGAAUUCAGGAAUAGCUACAUUUCUUUAGUAUCCUAUUAUACGAGUUUGAACCUUCCUUAAUAUCUGCCUGUAAUUUUCUUUCCCAAACACUUCAAAGAUUUUAUCCUGAUUCUGAAGAUAUAUUCUUUCCAGUUUUUCCGUUGUUUCACCCUCCAAUUUUAUCCUUGAUUGAUGGAUUAGUCUUAGAAAUAAUCCUACUAUAUAUUGUUCCACCACCUUCCUUAAUAUUUACCUGUAAUAUUGUUACUUGAAAAAUUUUAAGAUAUAUACUAUAUUAACCAGUUUUCCAUUGUUUCGCCCUCUAAAUUUCUCCUAGAUUGAUAUUCCAUCUGUUCCACUUUAAUAUUCUUGAUUUCUUGAUUUUUUUUCACCUAAUUUAAAAAAAAAUUAGUUAACUUCAUUGGAAGAAUACUAUUUUUCUAAAAUAUCCUUGUAUUAAUAUUAGUAGUACAACUAAAUAUUAUACCUUUAUAUUAAUUGCAACAAUAAUAUUGAUCAAAAAAUGUAUUAUUCAAGGUAUGAAUCAAAGCAAUUAAUGAAUAAGGUAAGUUAUAUUUACUGUAACCAAAUAUAUUAAAUAAGGACAUUUUAGAGAAGUUAAAAGUUUUCAAUUGAAAAGUCAACUAAAAUUUCAAACGAAUGAAAAUGGAAAACAAGACUAUCUGAGACGAGCGGAAUAUUUUAUUUUAUAUAGCCUACUUUUUUUUUGUCAAAAUAUAUAUAGCCUACUUAACUUGAACUAAAUUUGGAUAUACACCUAGUAGUGAAGGGAGCUAAUUAGGUGCUUAAAUUUCAUAAAUGCAAGUUCUUUGCACCGACUUACUGAAAUUAAAGGACCUUUAACUGAAAAUGCAGGAAAAAGGAUUAAGUGUCAGAGUUGGAAUUGUGGUUAAGCAGUACUUUCUUAAAGGUCAAGGGUGUAGAUUAAGAUAAUUUGUGAGAAUACAUAACUACAAUAAGCAACGGUAAUUGAAAAAAAAAAUGAAAUACACCUUGCUAAGGACUAUAAUCUAUUUCCUUCUAUAUCGCGUUAAGAGAAAAAAUAAGUACUUGCUACUUAAACUAAAUGUGACAUGAAUUAUACAUUAUAUAUUAUUCGUGAAGAAAAUGAUAGAAUCCACACAUAAUAUUGGUGAGUUUAAUUAAUUUCAAUACCUGCAUGCAAAUUAUACCCACCAAGAGAUAAACUAAGAACAGUGCUCAGAUAAAUAAUGAUUUUCACUUUUGUUGCUAAUGAAUUAGUACAAAAUUCUCCAUCUUCCCCAAGAUAGAGAGGGUAGUAAUCCCCAAGCACAAAAUUUCUAGGUUACCGUCGGUGCAAGGUGAAAUUAAUGUUGUGGCAACGACUUUGAUCUGCUACGGAAGUUCAGUAUCUCAUGCAUACCAUUUCUUCUUCAAUCAUGCCCAAUUUUAUAACUGUUGCUAAAAUCGGUAUGUUUUACCACAAAAUCUGCAGUGGAAGAGCUUCUUUAUGAUGCUUCUGAUGUUCCCUUCUCUUCCCUUGAAUUGCACAGAAGGAGUUUCAAUUCCUAGGUUCUCUAGUUUGUGUUUUUGUGCUCAGAUAACUAAGGAUCACCACUUUCUUGUACGCCCUUUCUCUAGUCUAGUUCUAAUAAUGAAGCAAUCCUCAGACUUAAGUGGGAUUCAAUUAGGUAUUAUUCAGUGCUAGCUACUUGCAUUAUUGAUCAAGUGGGCUGCAAUCAAGAACCAAAUGUGACAGGCUACACAUGGAUCUCUCAGCUCACCAUCAUAAUUUAGCACUUUUGGUUGGUUAGCAAGCAACAGAAGUUGCCAAAUGCAAUUAGUAAUAUGAUAAAAGUUCUGGACUUGCGGAUAGCUGGAGUGCAGGGCAAUUGGGGACCAAUUAUAUAGCUUGGGGGGUUUAGCCAAAGCUUUUUUUUUUUUUGUUUCCCUGCAGCAGAUAUAGGGGUAACUUGUAGUUACAUAGCUGGCUUUUGUUCUAAAGCAUUGCAUAACCAUAAAUUUGCUUCUUAUCCAGAUUAAGUCAUUAAUGAAUUUAUUAGUCUACAUUAAGAAGAGAAUUUUGGUUUGCACUUCAUUUCACGAAAGUUUGCAUUUUCAAUCUUCCUACAAGAAUAAUCCUGCAGGUACUUAAGGUAUGCUAGAUUGAUUACAGAUCGAUCCUAUCCUUGUUUUGCUGAUGACCAUUUCCUAGUCAAUUUUUUUAAAUAGUUAUUAAUCUUUUUCGUAAAAGAUUUCAGUCGAGCACUGUUUAGUUCCACGAUAAACGAAUUUUAAGAACAGUAACCAUUACAUUGGUCUCAAGAAAUGGCGUAGCUAUCGCAUGUCUUCAUCCUCCAAGGUCAAAUGGUAGUAACAUGAAAAAGAAUAAAAUUAGGCCAUGUAAAAGCUUCAACAAUUGAAGCUAAGAUCUUUACAGCUGAUUGAUAAGACAAUGGUUCUACGUAGCUGGUUAGGUUUUUUGGUAAGUUAGACAAUCACCAUAUCCAAAUGGAAGCAUAAGGUAAACAGCAUAGAUUUAUCAGAAACAAAAACCAACUUUUAUCCUCAUUGCAGGGGCCACAACUACCAAAUUCAACACAUCUAUACAGAAAAUGAAGAGAUAGCUAGAUUUAAGUUCACAAGUUCAAUCCACUCUCGUCCGCUCUCUAAAUUCUCUUUUUUCUCUCUAACUUCCACCACUUUUCUCAAACGAAACAAUAUCUUACUUCAUGGGAGGAGGGAGGCCUUUUGAUCUCCCUCCCUCCUCUCAAUGACUUCCUUUUAUGUUUGUAGAUAAUAAAGUCUUCUCUAGAAUUUCUAAUGAGAGUAUAAUAUUGUUCUCCCUAGGUUUGCACUGAGAGUAUUCUCUUAGUUUCAUACUUUUCAUUUUUUUUUCUUUGUCUAAUCUCAAUUUUUUCAGAUCUAUUUGUUAGAUCUGAAAUUGCUGAAUCUAUUUUGUCAAAUCUCAAAUUCAUAUAAGGGUUUGAAGUAGUUAAACAGUAGAUUUCAUGAGAAAAAAUAAGUACAGAUGUUCGUUAGAUUAAAGAGAUUGAUAUCACUUGAAUUACGUUAAAAAUUUUAUUUGUAAUUUCUUAGAUUUGAUGUAUUUGUAGAUCAUUCAGAUUUAUCACUUUUGUGACGUGUUUGAUGAUAUAUUUUCUGCCAUUAAUGCAUAAAUCAUGAGUGAAAUUAUGAUUUUUGUUAGAAAAAAAAAAAAAAAACAAAGGGCAAAUGAAGACAUAGAUGAACUUCUAAUGUUGGCUGAUAUAGGUUUCCCUUUCCCAUCAGGGUUUGAAUUUUCAUUACUCCCCAGCUUGAACUAAACCUUCAUCAACAGGCUAUUGGCCUGGAUUGUCAGGUCCCUCGCCACCUGUCAUUGAGUGCUUUAAUUAGCCAAAAGAACUACUUGGUCCUCAAAGCAGGCAGAAACACAACAAAACUGUUAACCACUCAAUAUAGGCCAAUGAAUAUCAGACAGAAAAACCAUAUUUCGUGCAGCCCAUUUUAUACUCAAAUGCAUGCAGAUCUUGUCCCAAAAUUUCACUCCAUCGCAACAAGGAAAUACAAAUUAGGGUCUAAAGUGAUAGGUAACAUACAAGUUAGAUGUUCUUUCGUUAGCCUUUGGCAUUAAUUCGAUUGAACCAAGUUAGAGAUUGAAGAAUUAAUACAAACAUAUAGCUUUAACCGAGCUAGAAAUAAUUAACCCUUUUCCACAGCAUCAAAUAUGAACGGAUCUAAAGUGGAACUAACCCUUCUGAUUAGCUAUUAAACGGGAAUUGUAGCCUUCUCAACAUCGUUUUCAUUUUGAUUUCUCACUUGUGCUUCGUAGACAUCUCAUAAAGCUUGUUGUUUAUCAUUAGUAGAAUACAAGAAGACGAUUGCACAUUGAUUUAGAAUCCGUUUGGACGGAUGUUCUUUAGGGUAUUUUUAUACAAUUUUGAAAUUAUAAGUAAAUAAUUCUUUGUAAGAACAUUUUCUAUGACAUUUCUAGGAGUGUCUUUUAGAUUUUUCUUUUUUUUUUUUUGGGUUAGAAAACAGGACGAAAAGAGACUACAUACAAGUUGAAAUUUUGUACCUCCAAAUUUGUAUCACUUUUGCAUUUUGCCAUCCUAAACUUUAAUUUUAGACACUUUACAUUCUAAACUCUUAAUGUUAGAUACUUUGCAUCCUAAACUCUCAAAUUUGUCCUAUUUAAAUCCAAUCAAUGAUAACUUUAGUAAAAUGAACGGCAUAGAGGAUCCAAUAAAUCAAUAACAAUGUGCCAAAAGUAGUCAAAAGGUGCUAAGUUAUUAUAACAAAAAUAAAACAAUACAUUAUCAUUAAUCUAUACCAUCUUUUAUCUCACUAAUUUUGGUAACAAUAUUAGUAAUUGAGACAUUAUAGAUCAACGAUAAUGUACAAAAAGUGGUCAAAAAAAUUAAAGGAUUACGGUUCAAAUAAAACGGUACAUUACCACUAAUUUUCACCACCCUUUAAUUCAUCAAGUUUGCGAACGUAGUCAUUGAUUGGAUUUAAAUUGGACAAACUUGAUAGUUUAAGGUGUAGGGUAUCCAAAAUUAAGAGUUUAGAGCGCAAAGUGUCUAAAAUUAAAAUUUAGGGUGCAAAUUUAAGGAUAUAAAAUAAAAUUAGUCCACUUUUGCCCGUCAGUCUAGUUUUUUGUAAUUCUUACAAUGUAAGAUGUAUAACAAUAUAACUUUGAUAUAAAUCUAAAUUUUAUUAACUCAUACAAUUAUUUCUUGAUUAACAAAUUUAUAUUAAAAAUUUUUAAAUUUAUAGUAACUAUAGAUUGAAGUGAAUAAAAAUAAGGAGGGGAAAUGAAUUGGUUUUUUUUUUUUUUUUGUCAGCAACGAUACAUUUGUAUAAUCUACUCUAUCCUAAUCUAGGAGGAAGGGAGCCGAAGGAGGCUGUUGUAGGGGCUAGUGGAUACACAGACCCAACUAAAUCAAGAAAAUGUUAUGACACAAUCCUUAAAUUUUUUUUGCUGCCGGUGAGAUUUGAAUCCUAGCCAACAAGGGGAAAUGAAUUGACAGAGAGAAUGCAACUGAGAGGUGUCAGUUCGUGACUUCUCCUCCCACUUAUGCUUUAAAAAAAUUUUACUUCAAAGUUCAAAGAAACAAUUCGAGUGAAUAAAAGUAAAUAGAGGCGCCCUGUCCCACAUGUUGUACUUUAUGCACUGUCCCAAGUUUGGCAGCUUCUGCAUGUAACGCUUAAACAAACAUGAGUGUACUCAAUUUGGACAAGUGAGCUUUCCAGUUUCCUAUGUUAAGUUUGUAUCCCUUCGUUUUGGCCACCUGGUCACUUCUUCAGCCACCUGUUCAUUCCUCCUCCUCCUCCUCCUCCUCCUUAAUCCUCAACCCUUGGUCUUCCCUCCCCCAAAAUCUAAAACCCACCUCCAAUCUCCUGAAACAAUUGAAACCCACUUCACUAAUUCAAUGGCAAAUGCAUUUUCCAUGUCAAACAUGUUCCAAACGCUGCCCUUUCCUUGUUUGAAUCCAAAACCCAAUUCAACAAAUUCAGUAAGCGUUAGUCCACUGAAGAGUCAUCAGCAGUUCUUCCCCAAGUUCUUUAUUGCAAAUUCCAAGAAGGCGGGGGCGGCAGCGUCAACUAUGGAUGCGGAGUCCGGCUUUGCUGAAGAGGAGCAGCGGUCAAAAGCAGCAAAGUUUAAAGAGUCAGCUGCUGCUAUGAAUCCUGUUUACAAGCCUACGCCUUCCAAUCGCCCUCUUCGAACCCCUCACAGCGGGUAAUUUAUUAUAAUGCUUUUAUAUGUUUCGCCAAUUUAUUUGAAGUACUGGUGGCUGGUCCGGAAUUGAUGCAAAUUCAAAGUUGAUGGGAAAAAUGUGCUAAAUUUAUAGUCUUGAGGACUAAAUUGAGACGACUGUAGAAAUUGAAGUAUUGAACGAACGAAAACUGCAAAUUUUCUCCAUUUUGAGCUGCCUUUCCGUAUAAUUGCGUUGUUUGUAUCAAAUGAGAAGUCCUUUCAUUUGUCAAAUGAUCCAGCCGUUUAAUUUGGAUCCUUUAUCUAUCAAUUUUCUUUCUUUGUUUUUUUUUGGUCUUUUUUUGGGGCCCCCGGGGGGGGGGUUUGGAGGAGGGUGUUGGGGGGCGGUUGUUCAAUAACAGUACUACGUAGUGCAGGAUAAAUGAGUAAUCCAAUCAACUGAUGGCGUGGAUGAAUAGUGUAUAGUUGAAUAAUGUAGAAAAAAUGAAACCUGUAUGUAAAAAUAGUGCACACUUGUCUUUAGCGUGUAGAAGUCCCAUUUUGAAUGUACACUAGCGUAGAGUACAUGCAUGUGCUAAGAUGUAUCUCUGAACCUGUUGCGUACACUAAUUGAUCAAGGUCGGGGUACAAUUGUAUGAUAAGGUGCUAUUGCGAGUUAAAAAGUUGCUGUUGUGUGCUUGUCAGCCUUAACUGAUGCACUUGCCAUAUUUGGUAGUUUUUUAAAGGUUUUUGGAUGAUUGUAAACAACUCGUACACAUGAAAUCUAAGGCAUUUUAAAGACCAUUCUUUGGUGGUAUAUUAUUCGUUCUUUGCAUGAUGAUUAUGUGCGACUGUCUGUGCAGUGGUAUAGCCUAGUUCAAGUGUUACAAAAUUUGGAUAAUUAUCCAACUUUGUCUAAACGGUGACAUGUUUGUAGUUCUCUCUGUAUGUCUGGUUUCCCUGAUCUAUUGACCUUACCACUUUGACAAACCAGCUGGAGCUAGCUUUUCACAUAUGCUUUUCCACUAGCUUAUAGCUGUAUUAGGUGCUCCAGGAAACAUGUUUUACAUUUGCAUCACCGUUAUCAAAUUGAUACUGGUACUGAAUGGAUGGAUAAUCAUUUGCAUGCAUGGUUAUACUUUUCUUCUUGCAAUUCAUAACAGUCUGGUCAAUCCACGAUUUGUAAUUUCUUUAUCCAGGUACCAUUUUGAUGGAAGUACUCGGAAAUUCUUUGAGGGUUGGUAUUUCAAGGUCUCAAUACCUGAAUGUAGGCAGAGCUUCUGUUUUAUGUAUUCUGUUGAGAAUCCUGCUUUCUCCAAGAAGUUGAGCACACUUGAGGUACUACAAUAUGGGCCUAGAUUUACAGGAGUUGGGGCUCAAAUUCUUGGCGCUGAUGACAAAUAUAUUUGCCAGUACGCUGAAGAUUCUCCUAACUUUUGGGGAAGUAUGUUUCUUUUCCACAUGAAUAUACAACUUUUGCUGUAGACUGUCUGCAAGAAGUUAUUAUGAUUACUUGAUACUUGAUUGUACUCUCUUUCUCCUUUAUUCAGUAUGGCUGCUUUAAGCCUUUAACUUCCCCUGCCCCAGCCUAGAGACCAAAUAAAACUUGCAUUGUCCUUGAUGGGUUGACACAUUUGUUCUGUUCUUUGUCUCAUAUAAUUUGAUCAGAACUGUUGCAUGCUACCCUUCCAUUUCUUUCUUGAUCACGUUUGAGUAGCUGUCUUGCUUCCUAAGGUAAGUGCUAUAAGUCUUCUGUGGCCUUGUAAGUUGUAAAGGCAAUUUCCGUACUAUUUCCAAUUUUGUUGUAUGAGAAUAUUCUUCUUUGUUUUUCCUCUGCAUGGAUGGAAUAGGAAACUGACCAUGGCCUUUUUAGUAAGCUGUGACCACAAUUCUUUUCUUGAAAUGGCUUCCUAUUUUGUUGAUAUCACAUAGGGAAUAUGGUGUUGUAGACAUAUAUUUGGAGCAUAAUUUUUCCAGUACACCAUGACAUGGUUAGUAAAUAAACAAUAUGCUUUUUUGUGAAUCUAAUUCAUAUUGUCUUAACAAAUAGGCAGGCAUGAAUUGAUGCUUGGAAACACUUUUUCAGCAAAGAAAAAUAUGCGGCCUCCAAGUAAGGAGGUGCCUCCUCAGGUGAGCAGUUUUUGUAUGUUGCUGCCUUGGCGUAAGAUAAGGAGAAAGGGUAUUUUUUCUGAAUAGAAGGUGUACAAUUAUAAAUACUAGACACCAUCACCGUGUUUGAGCAGACUCUCAUAUUCCAAAAAAAUCCUUCAAGACGAUGACACCUUGUGUAUCAGUGUUGGUGAUUAAAUAGAACGUGUCAUUGUUUACUUUUCUGUUACUAAGAGUACAAGAUGGAACUCAUUUCUGCAUUACCAGUACCAUGAUUAUAGCGUGUACUAUAUCUAUUUGCUAGUAGAUGUGGUACAUCCCUGAGCACCAACUUCACAUCUUUUAGUUUCUUAAUUUUCAAUUCAAAAUAUUCAUAAAUUAUGGGAGACUGUAAAAGCUAAUGGAUAAAUAUUUUGAUGUUUGCACAUCAUGGAAAGUGAAGGGGUUCAAUUAUAAAAUUCUUUGCUUUAAUAGAAACCCACUCAGUAUCAAAAGUAAGCAUGUCAAUAAACCAGUUGUUAGUCACAUUCAACAUAUAAAAUCUGCCCUCCAUGGCCUUAUAAUGGAGUCAUGCAGGAUUUCCUGUAGUGCAUUGUGGAGCCUUAAGUGAUGUAUGUGCUACUGUUGUAGGUUUGUAUCUAUUUCUUUGUGUAAUGGCAAGUACUCAGAUAUCAUUGUUAAGUAUAGCUUUAUUGUCUCGGAAAUUUUUUGGUGUCAGUGCAUGAACUUAUUAUAGAUUUUGCUGUUUCAUAACUCCCAAGAGGUUCUCCCUUUUACCGAGUUGGUAUCCUUUUAACAGGAUACGUAUUUGUAUCCUGGCAAGAAUAUUAUGCUUACGAGAUAUUAUUGUUAUUCAGCGACUUUUUUUUUUUCCCCUUAAAAGUGUCACAAAAUGGAGAUCUGAUUUCAAGAUAUGAUACUAGGCUUAUCUGGUUGUUUGGUUCUACAGGAGUUCGAUCAAAGAGUUCUGGAAGGUUUUCAAGUUACUCCCCUUUGGCAUCAGGGUUUUAUUCGCGAUGACGGGAGGUAAAUUCUCCUUUUCUUCCAUGUGCUUCAGAGUAUUGAUUACCUAUCAUAUUGCAUAAUUUACUCCUUAAGUGAAGUGAAAGUCAUGUAUAACAUGUUUACUCGCAUUGUGCAUCUUUUGGAGGAAUGUUACGCGUUUAUUAUAUAACAAUUUGCUUUCUCUAAAUUACUGAGCUUUCUUUUUCUUAGUUUAAUCCAAUUGCGCUUUUUUACUUCCACCAAAUUUUACUUAAUUUAUCAUGUUGGAUCAUGGGGUGUGCCAAAUACCUUACUUUACCUUCACUGGUAACCAGUAAACUUGUUGAACAACUACACCUAGAACAUUUUCUCAUCUGAAACCUUUGACAUAGAUGACAGUUUGCGUUUUAUCUGACUUCAAGGAUAAGGUUAAUUUGAUAAUUGUGCUUGUCAGCCAGGAGCCAUAUUUGUUGUCUUUCUAGUUAGGUUGAAGUACUUUCAGGAUAAGAAAUGCAGAUAAAUGCAAGUUGUUUCCUCCCUGCAAAUUCUGGUGUUUUAUAAUAAGGCUUUGUCUUUGCGUCCUUUUAUUUUUGAGCAGGAAUUCUAAGCAUAUGAGCAUAUCAUUUGUUCUUUUCUCUUUUUAGUCCUUGUGAUAAUUUGUUGGGUAAUACUUCUUGUUAAGGAAGAUUUUACGCAGGAUUGCGAGAGCAGGUAAUUUUCUAUUGAAAGUGUCUCAAAAUGAAUUUCAGGAAGAGCAACUGAUGAUUCAGAAGUUAGUAAACCAUACAUGAAUGUUACAAAAAUGUUUAAGUUGCUUAAAUAUGUCCCUACAAAAAUUAGUGCAAUUGAGAUUUUCAUGUCACAGACAAUAGAUGGGAAGAUAAUCUGCAAAACACGUUUUCUGGCAUUUGCUGUUAGCAAGAGAAUAACUAUGGGUCUUUCAGCAAGAGCAUAUUUAGGGGCCUUUUCUGGUUUUACAUGAGAUUUAUCACAUAAAAAUGUUGAACCUGGAUAAUUCUUUGUUGUUUCAGGUGCUAUUUUAAUUUUUACAUGAUACAUUUUCUGUGGUCUCACAAAUUGUUUUGAUGCUCCAAUUUUCCUCUGCUGUUUCAAGUGCUAAACUAAAUGGCUAGAGAAAGCUGAAUUGUGUUGUUAAAUACUAUCUUAAAAGUAUUCUCAUUCUUGAAGUUCAUGCAAACUCAGUCUCUUGCUGGCUUAAUUCAUGACCCAGUAGCUUGGAACAGUUGUUAUAAAAUGGUACUUGAAUGACAAUCACUAUCCGAAAGCUGAUACUUUCUGUGCCAGUAUAUGCAAAAAUAUCCCAUUUUAUUCUUUCAAAGGUGAGAUCAUCAUUUCAUUUUUUGACAUGAUUUAGUGUGACAGGACAAGCUAUGUGGAGACUGUAAAGACUGCACGUUGGGAGUAUAGUACACGCCCCAUUUACGGCUGGGGUAAUGUUGACUCGAAACAAAAGUCUACAGCUGGGUGGCUUGCUGCUUUCCCUGUUUUUGAACCCCAUUGGCAAAUGUGCAUGGCAGGGGGGCUUUCGACAGGUUCAGCUACCUUUCUUCUUUUCCAUUUAGGUCUGGUUGACUGAUAAGUUUUAAAUCUGUCCUUGUUGGACUUAAACCCCUAAGAUGAAUAACUUUUUGAGGACAAGAUAAUUGCUUAUUGAAAUUAAUAGAUGGUUGUAUCACAGGUUCCACGAGUAAUGGUUUCUUCUUCAAUGAUAAAUAGGGGAGUAUAGCAAUUGUACACAUCCAAGUGAUUCACUUAUGAAAAUGAUUAGUUACUGUAGAAUGAGGAUUUGUUUUGCUCAAUAAUGCACAUUUUCUUAUUUUGCUACCGUUUUUCUAGCAUGCAAAGUCUUUCUUUUAUUUGCAGUUUUUGCUGCAAUAGGUGCUACAGUCCUUUAAAAGUUUCUAAGCUUUCUUGGAGAUAUGUUGUUGUUGUGUAAGGAGGAAGUUGGUUUGUCAUUUCUUUGUAUCUGCAGUUGUUUCUACCUAACCUUCUCAUGGUGUCUAAUUGUUCGUUAGUUUGCUUUAUAGUUGCUGGCAUCCUGGCCAUAUGCAUGACUGGCUCAUUUCAUGGAAGGCUUUAACUAGACCUCACUCAAAGUUAGAGAUCAAUAUCUUACCUGGAGCAUUAAAUUGGUGUAUGCUCUACCAUAUUGCUUAAUCAUUGUUGUUAGUCAAAAUCUAUCUGAAUUUGCUUGUUCUUAAUUUGUUGGCAUCCAAACUACAUUGAACAGUUCAGUUGUCCUGGAUAAAUGUUCUGUGUAUUGUUUUAAUUCCAUAUUAUUAUGUGCUGUGUAGUUGAUUCUACUUUUUGCUUUUCUUCUACAUUCUACUUGUAGUACAUUUAGAUUGCACGGAUAAUAUAAACACGAUUGUUUAUUUUCUGUUCAAGUUCCAUGGUCUUGUUGCAGGUUGGAUAGAGUGGGAUGGAGAAAGGUUUGAGUUUGAAAAUGCUCCUUCAUAUUCCGAGAAGAAUUGGGGUGGUGGCUUCCCCAGAAGGUGGUUUUGGGUAUGUCUUCCCUUUCAAUUCUAUGUCUUAUUAUGUUGAAGCUUGCUUUUGAUUAUGUGAUUUUUAUUUCUCUAUGGAAUUAUUCUGGUUUCGUGGUAGUCAUUUAGAAGAUUGAAUAAUGAAGCUUUCCCUUGAUGAUACUCUUGAAAGUGGUUCCAUAGAUCUAAUUUUUUGUUUUGCUUUCAUCCUCUGUGUGAUUCCAAUUACAACUUUCAAUGUUUCUUUGUGGAUGAUCCUAGAUGUCUAUGUGGUACAAGAUAGCAAGCAUUUUUCCUUUCUCAUGGAAAGGAAAGCAUGUAUCCUUCUGGUUUGUUCGUGAAAAAUUUUGGUGUCUGCAAGCAGAAUGUAUGCUUAUUGACCUAAAACCCAGUCCCUUCCAUCUUUCAGAACUACAUUGCCUUUAACUUUAUUCUACUACCUUCAUCAGUUAUCAUAUGGAAUCUCUAUGUAAUUCUAUCACUCUUGGGACUGUUCUGUUUUUAUGUUGCAUAUUUGCUUAUGGGCUUGCUUUAUACAGGUCCAGUGCAAUGUCUUUGAAGGUGCAAGUGGAGACAUUGCUCUUACUGCUGCUGGUGGCUUGAGGCAACUUCCUGGAUUGUCUGAUACCUUUGAAAAUGCGGCACUGGUACAUCCAUAUUAGGUUUCAUAGAUGCACAUAGCUCUUUUGUUUUGUUCUUUAUUUUCCUUUCCUUGUGGUGCUCUUUCAUCUAUGAAUUACAGAUAAUAGCUUUUGGAAUCAGCAUUCUGCCCAAUUUGAAUCCAAACAAGCUAGACAUGGAGACCCCUAAACUUUAGCAUGAAAGAGGGAGAUCAAAUAAUGCAUAUCAUGCUAAACUGGUAGCUUAAAAGGAACUUUAUGGUUUAUUAGAAAUUUAAGGUGUGUCGUGGCCUGAUAGCAAGGCAUACUGUUCUAUCAUGUGAGGUACUAGGUUGUUGUAUGGGUGCACAACUGCACACUGCAUUAGGUUUUCCAUGUGUAGACCCUUCAAUUGUGAGGUCAUGCACAUGUUUUAGUUUUUGCCCCCUAAUAAAAGUUUUGUUCUUCAAAAUCUUUCUUCCCUAUAUAGACCUUAAGUGCUUUGGCAUGUAGGCACAUUCAAAGAUUAUGGAUGUAUACGUUAUUUAAGUUCAAAGUGAUAAGUGCUUGAUGAUGGAAUUACUUCCAAUGUAGACUUAAUCACUUUUUAUUCAGUCUUAAUAAUUAAUCUUUGGGCAUGGUUUGUACUGUCUUUGUAUGCUGUAUGGGGUUGGGUAGUAUGCACACACCUCUCUGAAGUUACAAAUUUAUCUUCUUGUGCUCUUGUCUGUAUGUAGCUGAUGCUAGAUUGAUAACUAUAGAAGUUUCAACUUACCUCUCAAAGACUCUUAACAUCUUGAAUUUCUUACCAAUGUGGUAAUGUGACAUAGUAUUAAGCAAACAAAAGCUACUGCCUAUCAUUCUAUGUGCAGCUCUUGUGAAGUUUCCACUUCUUGGCAAUAGUAAAAUUAAAUCUUAUGGACGUGUGAGUGGGUCAUUCAACUGUAUACGGAAAUGUUAUUACUAUUUUGUAUCUGCAAGUUUAAUUUCAUAGAGAGCAAUUUUGCGGAAUUUUUUAUGCGGCUUUAUCAAUUUUACACGGUAAUGACCAAAUUGUUAGUCCUCAAAAUUGAGCAUACUUUAUUUUUUUUUAGUAUCUCUGUAUUUGUGUUUAAAUAUCUAGUGAUUUCUUGAUUUUUUGCUGUAAAUUAAGUUAUACUUUACCCAUUCAAGUUAAAGUUGUCUUUCUUUUACUGCAUUCUUGUUGAUUAGUUACUUUGUAGUUGUUCUUAGUUACGUUGAUUUGGCAUCCCCACCCUCUUCCCUAUCUGGGUUGGAUGAGAAACGCACUGUAUUGUCAUAGGGGGAAAUACAACCUUAAUUUAUUUGCUAAACAAGAUCUUUUUUGACGCCUGCCCACCCCCCGGGGGGUGGGGGGCACAAGGAGGAGUAAGUCUUAAAUUGAUAGGAAUCCAAGUUUGAGCACUAUGUAAUGGCUUAAAGGUGGUAACUAUAUAAUGGCUUGGGCGUACUUUGCCUGAUUCAAUAAGUUCUCAGUAUUAUGUCCAAUCCAGUAAGAUAUAGGCUUAAAUUUCUUGGUGGAAGUCUAGUUUCUGUAUUUAUAGGGCUUUCCUACUAAUUUGGUGUAUAAUACUUCGUUGCCUUCUGGAAGUUCUGCAUUAGAGAAAAAUGGUGAUACUAGACUUAUUUGCAAAUCCCCGGAGGCUUGUCAAUCAUGACAUCUCUUUUAAACGUGUGAUUUUGAUUGAGGCAUUUUACUUGGACUUGAUUAGGGAUGCAAGAUGCUUGAUUUUCCCUUAUAGGGAUAUUCAACUAGACUUACAAAUUCACGUGAUAAUUAACUAUCACCUGCAUAUUCUUCUUGCCCUCUGGGCAGCAUUUCUUCCUUUUUACUCCAAAUGCCAAGUUCCCAAGUCUCUCUUUUCCAUUGUUUUGUGCUUUGUUUGAGAAUUUCUAAAUGCUACAGCUACAGGCUUACACGAUAAAUUGAUUAUGCAGAUUGGUGUUCACUAUAGAGGAGUAUUCUACGAAUUCGUGCCAUGGAAUGGAGUUGUUAAAUGGGAAGUUUCACAAUGGGGCUAUUGGUUUAUGUCUGCAGAGAAUAAAACACACAAGGUAUCAGUUAUCUACCAAAGAAAAUUAUGUUUCUGACUAGCACUGUAUUGCGACUCAGCAAUAUUGACAAAGCUGGAUGUUGCUUAGCUUUUCAUUUUGAAAUGUACUCGGAUUUUUUGGUCUAACUUGUUUUGUAUGGCUUUAGAAACAUGUAUACUAUAGAAUGCUUUAGUUGCUUCUCAUGGAAGUCAUGUCUAAGCAGGUGGAGUUGGUGGCAACAACAAAAGACCCAGGCACUACUUUGCGUGCUCCAACCUCAGAGGCCGGCUUUGCCCCAGCCUGUAAGGAUACUUGCAGUGCAGAACUAAGACUGGAACUGUGGGAUCGAAGAUCUGAUGGAAGUAAAGGAAAUGUGAGUUUUGUCCUUGUUCACCAUUCUUUUUCUUCAAAAUAACAAUUCAUAGUUGCAGUGAGAUGCCAUUAUCAUAUUAGAGAUUCUGCACAAGUUCAUGUUCCUAUAGCCCAUUUGUCCCACUUUGGGACGGCAGGAAAGUUUAGAUUGAUAUGCAAGUUGAUCAUAAGUGCAAAUGCACAGCUUGGGAUAUGGGCAAGUGAAGAUCAAUGCUGAAUAAGGGGUACUGCAGCCCAGGACAUACCUGUGGGCUGAAUUUGUUACAUUAUGGCAUGAGAGAGAAUCUAGUUUUGCCUUUGCAUGAGGAGAGACAGCUACUGUUAGGUUGCUGCAAGGACGUAGCAGGUGUGAAGGCUGCUUGGUCUCUACACAAGGUGAGAAUGAACCUGUGCUAGGUUGUUAGGGUGGGCGAUUUGUGUUUGCAAGAGGUGAGACUUGGUUAGGCCAUGAGGACGACUUUGUGUCUUUGUUAGAGCUGGUGACCCCGAGUCAGGAGAGCGAGAAAGUUUGGAGUGAUUUUCUAUUGUCAGCCUAAGUACCCAUGUAUAGCUUGGAUUCUUGGCAAGUGAUGAUAUAGGCUAGGGUGCAGUUGCUUGACUGCAUCUGCAGGCUUAGGGCAUGACAACAAAUGUCAAAAAAUGUUACUAGAAUUUAGUCAGCCUAUGGUUUCUAAUUUGAUUAUCUUUUAGUCCUCUUCCUUUUCUUGAAAUACGGAAAGUUGGACUAGUCAUUCGUGAAUUUCCUGGAGGGACCGCAUUGUAGAAGUCAAAGUAUAUUUAAUAAGUUUCAUAUUUUAAGGAUCUGAGUCUUCCACCUUUGAUGUUACAUUAUGAACAAACAAGACCCAACUACUGAAGAGUUAAUGACACUUGAGUAGGUUAGAUCCACUGUGCAUGACAUCUCCUCUUCUUCCUUUUUUUUUUUGGUUUGAUAUGUGCAAGACAUCUUUACCCACGGACUAUGUUCCUGUGGUUUUCUUUUUCCAACCAAAUGAAUAACCAACACUAGUAACACUUCAUGCCAUUGUCAACGACACAGGAAUUUCCGAAUUUCCUGUCUUGAUCACUACAGUCACCGAGUUUAAAGUAUCGUAUGAGAAAGCUAUUAGACUACCUGUUGUAUUCUGGUUCCAACAUCAUAGGGGACAACAUGGAUGAGGAUGUUGUAGGUUUGGUUGGGUGUUGGUGAAAGGAGAAUCCGUGAGUUCUGAAAUUGUCCGUGAGUUCUGAAAUUGUAAGUUUGCAGCUACAGAAAAUAAAACAGGAGAUCAUGGACUUAUUUGGAUAUUUGGAAACAGAUCCUAGUGGAAACAUUCUAUGACAAUGUGCUAUUUGCUAGUGGCAGAAGUCGGGCAUGAAAACAAGGAUAUAAUGAGUUAAUUUACGAUGGUUAAUCGAGAAGACGAGUAAGUGGUUAUAUGACCCAUAACUGUUGAAGUAUGAAGCAUGAUCCUGUGCUUAUUGUGUAUUCGUAGAAUUCCAUUCUCUGGUGUUACUUCUUGUUAUUGAGCAACAUGUUUAGUAGAAAUGAUCAUCUUACUACUACUAUUUUCUGUGGUUCAAAAUCUUUUAUCCGCAAUUAUAUACUUUUCAUGCAUGUUCGUAGAGUAUUCUGGAUGUCACAAGUAAUAUGGCAGCUGUAGAAGUUGGUGGAGGACCCUGGUUCAGCCCAUGGAAAGGCCAGACGAAUACACCAGAAUUUGUUAGCCGGGCUCUUAAUCUUCCUGUUGAUGUAGAGGGACUUCUGGAUUCAGUCCCUCUGCUGAAGCCCCCCGGUCUUUAACAGAUCGAGUGCUGUAUUUCUUUACAGGUUAGAGAGGAUGAAAAGCUUCACAACUGCUCAGAUUUUAUAGGUCUUUUCCAUGGGAAACCGGUUGAUCUCCAUACCAAACUUUCCUGUAGGACUUCUUAGGUGAAACAGUUGUAGAUGAACCCCAGAAAAAUAGAAACUUAUCAUCUGAAAAAUUGCCGAAGUAGUCCCAAAGUUUUAGGGAAGAAAUUGCUGUAAAUUUUUUGUUUUUCCUUUCUUUGGGUAGAAAGUGUUGGCAUAUAUGCUUCGAGAUUAGAGAGUUACGUUGUAAAUAAUUGUGAGGCGUUUGAGGGUUGUCCGAGUACAUGAUAAGAGAAUGAAGCACGUGAGAUGCUCUAAACUAAAGUGACAAGAAACUGUACCUCUAUUGAGAAAAAAAAAAAAAAAAAACCAUUCAAGGAGAGGUAGAAGUCAUACGGAUAUUAAUUAGUAAAGCUGAAAAAAGGUGGGGAAAAGGAUGGAUUGAAUAGUUCGGGGAAGGGAGAAUAAUUGAGAGAUCUCAACUUGACACCUUUUGCUUACAAUUUUUUAGACAAAAAAAAAAAAGAAGCCACAAAAAGGGCAAAAAGUUUGCUUAUCUAAUUAUAUGUUUAGCAAAUUAUUCGGAUGGUAACUAAAUUUAUGGAAUCGUGAAGUUUUGGUUUCUGAACUACUAAAAUUUUGAUUUUGAUCGCUAAACUAUUUACCGUUUGAAUUUCGGACCUUUUCAUUAGGUUUAAUUGUUAAUUAUGAAAUUCACGAGUGUUUGUGUGUUUGUGCGAAGAUUUAUUUAUUUAUUUAUUUUUUAUCAGCAACGAUACAUUUGUAUAAUCUACUCUAUCCUAAUUUAGGGGAAGGGGGAGCCUAAGGAGGCUGUUGUAGGGACUAGUGGGUAUACAGAUUCAACUAGAUCAAGGGAGUGCUAUGGUACAACCCUUAAAUUUUUUUCGCUGUUGAUGAGGUUUAAACUCUCACCAACAACUUAAGGAGGGACUCAAGUCCUCCCUGAUGGCCACUGAGCCAUUGGCCCAGUGGUUUUGUGCGCGAAGAUUCACGAGACAAGAAAAGUUAUGUCCUAUCACGGGACUUAUGAUUAAAGUUAUGCUGAAAAUUUUAUGUUUUAGGGAUUAAAGUGAGGAUGCGAGUAUGAUUAAAGGAUGUAAAGUGGAUUAUUGCAACAGCUAGUGAAUCUGGUACCACUAACUUUAUUAGGAAGAGCAAUAUCACAAGUGAAAUCAGAUUUACCUUAUCCAAAUUCAGGCAAUCACAGAUUACCUUAUCCCUUUUCUGUGAUAGAAAACUCACCAAGCUUAGAGGAAUAUAUAAUACAUAAGCACGUGAGGAGAACAGAAAUGACACAUUCUGCCGACAUUAAUUUUUUCUUUUCUUAAAUAGCAACACUCAAAAGAAAACUAGCUGGCUUUUUUCUUUUUCUUUUUGUUGUUGUAAUUUAAUAAUGGUAACAGAUGGACAAAAAUAAAAAUUAAUGUCAAGUCUUUAGAUCAGUUAUAAUAAAAAUUGUUUAACUGUUAAGGUGGCUGUUGAUUUAAGAGACUGGACCAACAAUGGCAUUUCUCUUUAAAAGCUAUAGAUGCAACUGUUAAUAAGUUACAAAUGUUGUUGAACGAAACUUAAUCAAGCAAGUGAAACCAAGAUUUACAUGGCCAGUCGAUACUCCUGAAUGUCAUGAGAUGGCAUAUUUAUGUAUAUUUUUCUUUUCUUUUUUUCUUUUUUUUUUUUUUGGUGCUAAGGAGAGCCAAUGGCUCAUUACAGGUUGGUCAAACGAGGGAAAGCUACUCCACACGCGUCAUGGCCUAGGAGUUCUUUAAGUAUAUUUUUCCUUUGUAUACGAUUAUUGUAUAUAUAUAUAUAUAUAUAUAUAAAUCGGUAGUGUAAAGAUUAACAAUUGUAAUUUAAACCUAACCACAUGAUAAGUAGGGUUGACCUAAACAAGUAUGAUUGGAAAAAGACAAAAGAAAGGGGGGUUUUUUUUUUCUCUGUCACAUCUUUGAUUUUACCAAUAAAUUAUGCAGGCAUUACACGAUUUCUCAGUCACCCUCAAUCAUUUUCUAUAUGAUAGUAUUAGUUUGGAAAGAGUGAUUCAAUUAUUGAGAGCACUUGCUUUAACAUGAUUGCAUGCAACUUUUUGCCUUACACAGAAGAAUCAUAUUUUACCUUAAAUUUUCGACUAUCUUUGGCUUAUAUACUUAGGUCACUUGUGAUAUAUGGCCUGUAUAAUUCAUAAUCUCACAAUUUGAUAAGUACACAUGAAGGUCUAAAAUACUAAGUAACACAAACAUAGAGCAAAUUUCAACUAGUAUAUGUAAAGCAAAUUCGAGGUAAUGAUCGUAAUGCAUCUUUGAAACAUUUAAAAGUGUGUGUGUUGAAAUGCGGUCGACCAUUAUUAUAUGAUGAGGCCCAAUGAAUGGCACAUUAGUUUGUAUCAUAGGCACAAGAAAGUAAAAUCGAACCAAAAAAAAAAAAAAGGGAAAGUUAAGAAUCCAUUUUCCUAUAUAAACGUUCACUCUUAACUCGUUAGUCUCAUCCCUGAAACUCUAGUUCUCUUUCUCUUUCUCUUAUGCUUUGCUCCUCCUACAAUUUAAUCUAUCAUAUACGUAUUUACGGAAGAAACAGGCAGCCAUGAAGAAAGUUCUUCUGUUUCUAAGUGCUCUUGUCUUCUUUGCCCUAGCCCCAGAAGCAACGAACGGUGCGUUGCAUGGAAAGACGCAAGCAUUAAUCAACCGAGCUAACAAAUUUGGACCUUAUUUAGGAUUGGUAAUUCCAAAUCUAUUCGAAAUGAAUCCACUACUCCAACAUCCAAGUUUCGUUCCUAGUGAGCUCGUUAUAGAUUUUGCAGGUACUAUUCCAGCAAAAACACCAUGAAAUCAGAAACAUUUUCAGCAACUUUUGUCCUUCAAGAUUUACACAAAUAACAUCUUAUUUUGUCUUUUCGAAACUUGUUCCAAAGGUAAGAGAUUUCGAUUUGGAACAAUUGAGAAAAAGCCAGUUAUAUUGGUGAUGACGGGACUCGGAAUGGUAUGCAGAUUUUUAGAAUUUCAUCUAUGUUCUUUUUAGGCCAUACUAGAAAAAUAGAGAGGAAUAUGCAUAUUAAUUCUCCUACUCCUUAUUAGCUAAAUGCAGGUGUAACUACGCAGCUUUUGCUGAGCUUGUUCGAAAUAGAGGGUGUUGUGCAUUAUGGAAUUGCUGGGAAUGCAAACCCUUCUCUUCAUAUUGGAGAUGUAACUAUUCCUCAGUAUUGGUCUCACUCUGCUCUGUGGAAUUGGCAGGUAUAACUUGGCAGAUUUACUUUUGUAUGCGUAGCACCAUUAUAAAAAUGAUUAAGUAGUAUUAACACGUAGCUACUAUAUUAAAUCUCUUAUUCUUUUUCUUAAUCUAAAUACCAAUAUUGGAGGUCAAAGGGUACACUUCUAUGUUUGUUUCCUAACCCAACAUCUCAAGGGUGCUGCGGUGGGUUGUGUUUGAGACCAGCAUCAACAACAGAUUAGGCUAAAUCGACACUUCUCCAUUCUAAAUUUACACCUCUAUGCAUUCGUCGUGUGGAUAUUCAUGACCUAUAUUAGUUGUUUGAUACUUGUAUAAGAUUUGCACUCCAUAACAAGUUGUAUUAUUCGUAGUAAAAUUUGUACAAUUUGAGAAUUUAAAUCAUAGAGGAUGUAAAAUUCAGCAUUUUCCACAGUUCCAUGCUGGUGUAUGUUAUGAAUUUUGGGUUUACGAUUUUGCAAUUCUAAUAGUCUACAUACUGAUGUAGCAUCCUUUUGUUUGGUACUUAGUUACAUUAGAAGUUCUAUUGACCCAAUGAUUUUUCUUAUUUUAGCUAGGUAAAAGGAUUAUUUUCUGAAGGGUCAUAGUCUAUGGAUAAGCCUGUACCGCUUUUGGGACAUCAUUACUACUUUUCUAUUUGUUGAUAGGAAACUUCGUAUAAAUCUGGGCCAAGGAAAUACUUGUGGAUUUAAAGAUUUGACAAGAAAUGGGAAGAUUCAUCUGAUGCUGAUUUAAUAAACGACAAUUCCUUUCCUCUCAUUACCUUAUUAGUAAAUUAUUCAACUUCAGUUCAUCAGGGGAUUCCGUUUGAAGGUCCUUAUGUAGUAAAAAAGAAAGUGAGGCGGGCUAAGAUUCCAUUUGAAGUAAGGUAAUAGGAUUCGAUGUUGCUCCAUCUUCAACUCUUAUCGAGAUCUCUGAAGUUUUUGGAGAAAAGUUUCCAUCCUUCAAUAUCAUGAUUGGAUCGACCAGGCCAGAUCAUGCAUGACUGAAUACAAAAUAAAAAAAAAAAUGUGCAUAGCUGCUCCUGCUAAAAUAUAUACUUGGAAUAAUUCUACCACUUCUACAUUACUAGGAGUAACCUUUUUAGUGCUAGCUCAAUGUAAAGUAAUGACACUUUUAUGCAACGUCCAAAAGGGUCCUGAUGUAGUAAAGGGACCGUUUGGAUAGCUACAGCCUCUGGACCUUGCAUUGUUUUCCAUCCCCACACUGUUUCAAAUGUGAACCUUAGAAAGUAUAUUAAACAGCCAACCUGCAUGGUGACACUGAGAAAUAAAAUUCCUUAUGGAGUAAUAUGGAUUUUGGGGUCAUAUUAACCAUGUAUAAUUUCACAUCUAUGAUCGUUAAAUUCCUGUAAUAAUGGCAAUGCUGCAGAGAUAUGGAGACGGGCCUAGCAACGAACUCCCACUUGAAGAGAAUGGAGACUACACAAGGGAUAUUGGGUACAUAAGAUUUGCAGAUUAUACAACCAGUAAUGUAACAAGCUGCAGCAGCCCGUUUGAUAAUCUUCUAAAUAACGUUUGGUACCAGCCUGAGGAAGUUUUUCCAAUAGAUGGAGAUCCUGAAGAAAGACAACAUGCAUUUUGGGUCCCCGUCGAUUCCCAUUACUUCAAGAUCUCAAGAUUGCUUGAGGUAAUUUAAGCCAUCUCCCACUCAUUUAUUCAUGUCUGGUCACUUUUUUUCCUUUUUGUAUAAUUCUUUGUUUGGGGUUUAGUGGGGUCGGGUGCUGGUGGUGGUGGUGGUGGGCUAAGCCUGAUAUGACUCAGAACUAUAUCCCAUCAAUUUCGUGUCCCAUCAUCUGCAAAACCCUAGCUUAAUGUGUAUAAAUAUAUAAAGCACAAUCCAUUGUACUAUAAUGCAGAAUCAAAUAAGUAGUAAUUUAAUGGUAGUUUUGUAGAUGGAAUUUCUAACCCUUUUCCCUCCUUUUGAGCACGCAUAGACAGAGUGCACCAAACACUAGUUCAAGCAGCCGAAUAAAUUUCAAUUUGGCCUAUAAGCAAUUCUCUCUUUUCCUAGUUAAGUUUGAGGUACCAAGAAAGUGAAAACAAUUUUUAUGUAAUUGAGUUCUUAAUAUAUCAUUUCAUACUAGGAUUUUAGAUGAUUAUAGUAUUUCUCUUCCUAUACUGUGAUACUGAAAUCUACGUGUAUUUCUGGUCUAAUAAUUCCAUCUAAUCAGACAAACAAUUAUUUAGCGUGCAAUGACUUGAUUAUGAGCAAAACGACGCGCUUAAUUAAUAAUGCCAAAUUAAUGGUCCUUGGUUGAUUAAUGACUUAGGAUAUACAGGACCUCGAAAGAAAUUAAAAAACAAGAAUAUGUAUACAGCAAAACUAAAGUUACAUUACAGAGAGUUAAUCCACUGUACUUAUUCACCUCGCCAACCCCCAUAAAAUAGUAAUUAUGAAACUCAAAUAAACAUAUAUUUUCUCAGAGAUUAAAUUCUUCACUAGAGAAAAUCCUACGUUUUAUCUUCUUGACAUCCGUUUAUUAAUUAAAACAUGGGGAAAAAAUUUCACUAAUGUAUCAAAUUAAACUAAUGUAUCUUUGUUACUUUAAUUUUCAGGGCUUGGAAUUAGAAGGUUGUGUGAAUUCAACAACAUGUUUGGACACAACCCCAAAGGUGACAAGGGUUGAAAGAGGAACAAGUGCCAGCAUUUACUUAGACAAUGCAGCUUAUAGGAGCUUCAUAUACAACAAGUUUAAUGUGAGCCCUGUGGAGAUGGAAAGUGCUGCAGUGGCUCUCGUUUGCCAUCAGCAAAGGGUUCCUUUCAUUGUCAUUAGGGCACUUUCCGACUUGGCCGGCGGUGGCACCGCUGAAUCCAAUGAGGCUGCUACUUUCACUGCUCUUGCAGCUGAUAAUUCUGUCAAAGUUGUGGUGGAAUUCAUCAAGAUUUUACUGUCUUUUCCAUGGCUCCUUCGAGAAGUCAGAAGCUGAAAGAUCAUCAGGUAUGACAAAUGCUUGAAUAAGUUCAUGUGAGCAAAGGAGAAUGAUUGUUCCGCAGAACAUGCAGGCUGGCUUAAUCUUAUCCCUUUUCUUCUGUCUCUUUCUACGAGUGGAAUAAAUUGUAGUUUGGAUCAUCAAAACGUCAUGUUUUUGUACUGAUCCAAUUCGAGUAUAUUAUAUAUCAGAUCUUUGUUGUUCUUUUUCUGCAUUUUUCUCCAAAAUCCACCUUGAGAUGGUGAAGGGUUCUGGUAGACUCACGCCAGUUUUUAGGAAACAAAUUAUGUAUUGUGGGCAUAAAAUUUUUAUCUCCAAGAUUUUGUCAACCCUGCUAAUCUUGAUUCUUCAGACAUUCCACAUGACUUUAGCCAAAGGUCACAAUGACAAGCCUCCAUGCCUUGUGGCUAGUUGGCUACCGACAAACGCUGUAUGUUGACAAAUCUUCUGCAAAACAACAGAAAGCUGAGUUGUUUAAAUCUUUAAAAAAAACAAAAGAAAGAGUUAUUUAAAUCUUGAUAUUACUGAUGUGCAAAAUUUUCUAAAGAUUCAUAAAACCAGACACUAAGAGAUGUUUUGAGCAUCCACCAAACAAAAUAUCUCUGAGAAUCUUGAGCUGUCGAUGCAGUGAAUUGAGCAACCUUAGAGCCUAAUUGGUUUAGUCCUUCUAGAGUUGGAAAAAUGAUCAGGAGUGACAAAUUCUUGAAUAAAAUUAAUAUCAACAAAGGAUAAUGAUGUUCUGCUGAACAUGUUGGGUUGCCUCGGUUUCAUCCUUUCCAAUUGAAUAUUAGGCAGACGAUAUUUGUUUUCAACUAAUAAGAUGGUAAUACAAGUGACUUAUUAAAAAAAAAAAAGCAAAAAUAUCUAUUCAAGAAAAAUCCCUGCAAAGCAUAGGGGACCAUAAACCACAAGUAGAUGUAACUCUCCCUGUUUAGAUUAAGCAUAUGUGAACAAAUUUGAUUGGUUAAACUACUGGAUUCUCAAAAAUCAAAGACUGCCAGUAGUCAUUGAAUACUUUUACAUUAUUGCACCUACUACCACUACUGAAAUUUUUUAUUUGUAUCAAACGUGAAAGUUGUAAUCUGAACCACAUCUCCAGGCAAUCACCAUAUUCCCAACAAAUCAGUCAUCAACUUUUCUUUUUUGGGGUAAAAAGCUAUGGGCAUUGACAUCUAGAUAAGAGAGUUACGUAGAAAAUAAUAGGGAGAAAAAAAAAAACCUAGCUCUAUAAAAUAAUACUCCCUCCGUCUUAUUAUUAAUGUCAUAUUUUCAUUUUUUUAUUGUCUCAAAAUAAAAGUCUCAUGGCAAAAAUCAAACAACUUUCAAUACUAUUUUCUUUUCGUACCCUUAAUAAGAAUAAUAAGAAUGAUAAUUUCAUCAAUUAAUAAUAAAUAAUUAUAUAUGGCCGACCAUAACACGUGCACACUUUCACAAGUCCUGUGACCUUUUGUUUUUAGCUUUCCGUGUUCAAACAAUGGGUACGACUGGAAGAAUACGAAAAGUGCAGUCCACCAUUUGACUAUACAUAAUAAGUGCUACUCCCGAAAAGUGUCCCAAUUUUUGGGAAGGAGGAAGUGUAAAUUACUUAUUUUCCCAUGCAAUUUUAUAUAAUGCUAAAUGACCACCCCUAAGGUUUAAGAUAGCUACAUAACUCUCCCGUGGUCCUAUAUAAAGUGAAAAUAGACAGAAUGCACAAUCAAUUAUAACAUUUAUACUAAACACACUUUAAAAGCACUUGUGAUAAACCUACAUUAUAACUCCCUAUGGCUUCAACUAAAUUAAAAAUUGGCUGAAAGCAUCUAAUCUAACGGUUGUACGUGAAAUGUCAAUAAUGCUUCUGUAUAUAUAAACUUGUGAUUUUUCAAAUAUUUAAUUUAAUUUUCUCUGAUUUAAAAAAUUAUACUAUAGUUUCCUAUGAUUUUGACUAAAUUAAAAAUUAAACAAAAAGCAUUUCACAUAUAAUAAGGGCAAUAUUGACAUUUCACAUAUAUCCGUUAGAUUAGAUCCAUCCAAUUUUCAAUUUAGAAGAAAUCACAGAGAGUUGUAGUAUAAAUUUUUAAAUUUGAGGGAAUUAAAUUAUAUAUUUGACAAAUCACAGGGAGUUUUUUUCUAUAUUUUACCUUAAAAAAUCACGGGUUUGGAAGUUUAUUGCAACAACAAAGACGUGACAUGAGGAUUGACAAAAUUUAUUUAGAAAUGACCAAACCACGUGAUAAACGAGGUAGACCUAAACGUAAAUCAUUGAUAAAAGACAAAAGAAAGGGGUCCACAAAACACAGAAGCAAUAAUUUGCUCUCAUUACACUCUUAGAAAAAUGUAAAAAAAAAAAAAAAAAAAAUUAGGAAGUAAAACAAUCAGAGAGACACGAGGGAAUUAUGACGUACCUUCAGCAAUACAUUUCUGUGUAGCUCAGACGGCAACAGCAAACUUGUUUGGAUUGCUGUUUUGGUCAAAAAAAAAAUUAUGUAAUUUUUCGUGAUCAUAUUUCUUUAUUAUCUUUUUUUUUUACAUAUAUUAAAUCGUUACAGUAAUUUUUUUAUGAAAAAUCACGAAAAAUGCAAUCCAAAUACAACCUAGAUGAAAAUCUGUAAAGGUAUUCUGCUCAAUUGCACUAUAACUUAUAUUCACUUCUCUUAAGUAAAAGGUUUGCAGUGAUCUUUUAUUUUUUCAAUGAGUUAUAUGAAUGUUGCAUUAUUUCCCGUGGCACUUUCGAAAGUUUUCUGCAAAUAAUAUUUUAUGUUAGAGUAAGGCCUUGUUUGGAUUGCUUGUUUUUGUCGAAAAAUUACGUCAUUUUCCUAUUAUCUUUUUUCCUCACAUACAUCAAAUCGCUACAGUAAUUUUUCCAUGAAAAAUGCAAUCCAAACACAAUCUAAAUUUUCGAACCAGCUCCUAAACUAUCACUUUUAUACACUUUUGCCCCUAAACUAUACUAUAUAUCGCUUAAGGGCUUAAACAAGUUAACAUAUAAGGUUUUGGCCCUUUUGUUUCUACUAUUUGACCUGACAGAAUGGAGAAUCAAUUUUGUCCCUCCAAAAAAAAAUAAAAAAAUGACGAACUUUUGGCUCUUUUUACUCUUCUUCUUUGCAGGUUAUUUCAUCCUUUAGUCCUAAUUUUUGUAUGAUUCAAUAAUAAUAGAAUUAUAGUGAUCUGAUCUUUUUACUCAUCUUCUUGUCAUUUCUUUUUCAUACAAGGACAAUUUUUUCCCUCCAUUCUAUUAGGUCAAAUAGCAAAAAUUGUUUGAAGUGCCAAAAGUUUAUAAGGUCAAAUAGCAGAAAUUAAUAGAAGGGCCAAAAGUUUAUAUAUUAAUUUGUUCAAAGGUUUAAACACUACACAAUAUAGUUUAAGAGUCAAAAGUGUACAAAAAUAAUAGUUUAACGACCAAUUAGGCAAUUUAAUCUUGAUGUUACUUGUGUUGGGAUCUAAGCGCAGAAAACAAGACUAUUGAGAAAUCAAGAAUACAAUAAUUUAACGAGAAACAAGCACAAGCAUGAAUACCUCUACCUAUUUAUAAGUUACAUUACUUGACUAAUACCUAAUAAGUAAUAAUAGGAAACAAUUACUAAUUCUUAAUCUUAUAUAAAAUAAAAAAUAACUCCUAAUUCCUAAAUUCAUAUAAAUAAGAAAAUAAUUAAAAAGCUAGUUACUUACAAGCAAAAAAAGAAAAAACUUGUCUAAAGAGAUAAAACCAAUUUGCUAACAACUUGUCACUCGCUUUACAUAUUCAAAUGCUCGCAAGUCACUUCUUGUCUGCGUACUGCGUCUUUCUUCUUCUUUGUCGCUUCACUUUCUUUCAAGGACAAAAUGAUCCUACGUUGGAAAAACACAUGCGAAUCUUAUGUAACUUUUUGUCUUGCGCAGAUGAAUCACUUUUACUGUAUAUUAAAUUUGCAUUCCGAUUUCUUGAUAUGCUAAGGUAACUUGUGGGUUUUGAUUUUAUACUUUCACAAACUGUAUAUGAAUUAUUAUAAUUUGAUAAGUCUUGACGUUGUAAAAGUACAAGUAACGUAAAACCUAAAGAUUUUUAAUACAAAUAGAUAGCCUGAAGGGAACAGAUUCAAACUUAUUCAUAUAAGUUAAAUAUAGGGUGACGAUACUUACACACCCCAUCCCAUGAAUAUCUACUAGACCAAACGACAAGCAUUACUAGUAGGAAAAUAGAGGUGUACAAGAAACCAAACAUUAUCGUUAAUUUUGUUCACAAUUAUAUUGUAAGUUCCAUGAAAGAUAUGAUUAGUUUGUACAAAAAAAUAUAUAAUUAAAAAUUAAAAAUCCAUUUUCCUAUAUAAUGGUCAGUCUAGCAGCUCGUUAGUCUCAUCCCUGAUCAGUAAUUCUCCUGUUUUUUCUCUCACACUUGCUCCCAAAACUAUUCAAAAACAUGAGUGCAUAGUGAAGAUGGCGGCCAUGAUGAAAAUUUUUUGCUUCUUUCUGUUGUUAUCAUCUUUGCCCACAUCCCGGAAGAAGCAGAUAGUACAUUGCACGCAAAGACACAAGAAUUGAUCAAUUGAGCUAACAAAUUAUUGAGGUUUGGUAAUUCUAAAUCUACUUGAAACGGAUCCACUACGUACAUAAACAUCCAAGUUUCAUUCUUAGUGAGCACAUUAUAUGCCAUCGUCAUGCAAGUAAAAAAAUUCUGACAAAUCAGAAGCAUUCUGGGCAACUUUCAUGAAGAUUUACUCAAACAAUAAGUUGAUAAUUAAUUUUUAUUUUAAAUCUUAGCCUAAAGGAAAUUAAGUGUGUGCUAACACAAUCGAACAGAGUGUGCAGUGCAUGAUUUGAGAUGUAAACAGGAAAUGGUCAAAUAGGAUAUGAAAUGGGAAUAUGGAGUAAUAAUCUUCCUCCUAUAUUAUUUAUUAUAUUACUAAACCUUGAGCGUACAUAUAUUGUCUAAUCCUCCCUCGUCUACCCAGUCACUAUUUAGCAUGCAGUAUUGACUAUUUACUCAACUGCAAAACGACAAGCUUAAUAAUGCUAAAGUUAUGGUCUUCACACGAACCAUAACUUUGGGAAUAAUGCGAAGUUUUUCUUUACCCCAAAAUUAAGAAAAGAAAGAGCCUAUGUUUUCAGACUCGGACCGGGUAUCAACUCAAUUGAAUUUAGGGGUCAGGGGUCAAUGGAUUCGAUCGGAGUUGAAUAAGAUGACGUUAUAAAUAAAACUUACUUAAAAAUUAAAAUAUUGUAUGUAAAAUACUUAAGAAUAUGUUAAUAUUAACAAAUAUAUAUAUUCAUACAUAUUUGAUGUUUUAAAUAUAUUUAAUAAGAAAAUACAAAGAAAUUAGAAUGAUCAAGUAGCAAUUUAUAUUAUUAAAUGAACAUUAACAAGUUUAGAAUUAAAAUUAUGGAUUUGAUUGAAAAAUAACACCAAACUUUAGGACAACAUUUAUAAAGUAUGAAAUAUUUGAGAUAUAUUAAUAAUUUUUAGCAACCUAGGGGCCAAAACAUAAUAUUGAAUAUGCUUUGACCUUUUAAAAAAAAAAUCUUGACAUCAAAUCGGUUCAUCUAGUUUGCUAGUCAAACCCGGUUUUUGAUCGAGUUUGAACGAAUUUUUAUAUAUCUGAUUUUUUAGAGUAAUUCAGACUGGACACUUGACCGAUUUCCAAUUCGAUCAGUCAGACCGCCCUGUCUGAUCCGAGUUUAAAAACACAGGAAAGAGCAGCACAUACAAAGUGAAAAUUUCUAAAUAAUAAGUCACAUGUAGAUCCAUAAAGAUAGACUUCCUUUUCUCCCAAAGGUACUAAUGAAACUCAAAUGGAGAUUUUUUUUUAAAUUAUUUUUUAUGAGAAUCUCAAUUCUUGUUAUCUUUUCCUCCGUUAGUUAAUUGAAACUUUUAUCAACUAGGGGAAACAAUGUAACUUAUGCAAUUAGCUAGUUAGCUAAACUCUAAUACAUAUCUUUAUUAAUUUUACUCGUUUUUGGACCUUUAUAGUAGACCAAGUUUGUCUGAAAUAAAUAUGUUUGAAACCAAUUUCAAGGGUGCCUUUCAUAGUUAUUAGGGCACCUUCCGACUUGGCCGGGGGUGGCAGUGCUCAAUCUAAUGAGGCUGCUACUUACACUUCUCUUGCUGCUAAUAAUGCUUUCAAAGUUGUGGUGGAAUUCAUCAAGAUUUUACAGUUUUUCCAUGGCCUCUUUCAGAAGUUGAAAAAUGAUCAGGAGUGACAAACUCUGGAAUAGAUUUAUGUCAGCGAAGGAAUUUAGAUACAUGUAAAGCUAGCUGAAUCUCAUCCCUUUCCUUUUUCCUCUUUUCACGAGGAAAAAAUAUUUGUACUCAAUGAAUAAAAUUUGCCUGCAUUUCUACGUGAAAUUUUUUAAUUUCCAAGUCAAUUAUGAAAUUCAGCACUUAAGAUCCAGUUACUAAUCUUGAAUCUUAAGACAUCCCAAAUGUCCUUUGUCCCUUUUGACCCAUACAACUUUUCUCUAAAGACCUUAAGCUCCUGUGUGAAACUCGGAAUUUAGUUUAAAAAAAAAAAAAACUAAAGCUAUAGGAAAAUCGUACUCCUGUGAAUGGUGUUUACUCAAAAAUAAAAGGGAAAAGAAAAAAUGAGAAUGAAAGUCAAGUACAAGCAAAAACAAGAAACAACUACAUCAAGAACUUCAGAUUACUUGUCAAUUGCUUCGCCUUCAUCAUAUUUUAAGAUCCAGAAAACGAAGAGGACCAAUUCUCUCUCUCUCUUUUUUUUUUGCAAACGAAUCAAUCCGCCCGCGAGGGGUCGAGUCAAAGUUCAAAUUGAGCUCGAGUCAAACUCGAAUUGGCCAAAUCGAAUUCGAGCUCGAGUUCGAACUCAAAAAUAUUAAGUUCAUUAGCUCAAGUAUACAUAUAUAUAUUGUUUUAUUUUAAUAGUGAAAUUAUAUAUAUGUCCUUAAUAUAUUAUUAUCUAUUAAGAAAAAAUACUAUUUUAUUUAUUUUUUAAAAAUAUAAUAAUUAUUUGAAUUUGAGUCGAGCUCGAGCUCGAGCUUUAAAUUGGCAGCUCAUUGAGUUCGAACUUGAUAAAACUAAGUCAAGAUUCAACUCAAUUAGGUCAAAACUCGACUCAACUCGUUUGCAAUCUUAAGAAUAACUAGUGACAAAGGCGCUCUCAAAAGUUUAAAAGUAUUUUUCAUAAAUUUAAAUUUUGUCCUUGCUAAAAAUUGAAAAUGUUCUAUUUUUAUUCAAGUGUAAAUAUGUUAAAAUUAGCACCUUCAAAAUAAAUUUUAUCGGUCCAUCUACAGCCAGACAUUCCGGAGGUCAUGGAGUCCACAGCUGCCGAACCCUGUCAUUAAGCAAGGCAAACUUGUUUAACUUGGGGUUGAUUAUUCAUUUAACCUAUCAUGCAUAUACCCACACUAAUAAUUAUUACCUUCCUUUGCAUUUAUGUACUUUUCUUAAUUAAUCUUACCUUUCCAAAAACCUAACGCCUGAAAUUCAUCUUGACCAGUGUCCAAUACACACACGUUAAAUAAACCUUUAUUUAUUUAUCAUUUUAUUAUUAUUACUUUGUUCAAGGCGAGACUCUAAGCCUUACAAGAGAGACAGAGGAAGAUUUGAAAUUUGAACCAGAGACCUUAGGGUAACUGGCUGAUGCACUACUAGUUAAGUUGGAUUACGAAGAAAUGAGCAUCUCACAUUGUAGGCAUCAUGGAACGAGCAAAUUUAAGGCUUUUCCUCAAAAUGCAAAAGCAUAUAGUGUAUGGGUGUAAAGUCAUUUUAGAAAAUUCUGAUCAUUCCUUUUCUAGGGAAAAUUCCUAAUAAUUUCAGAUUGCAGAGAAUGUGCCAAUAUAUUGGAAUGCAAAAGGCUCAAUGCCCAUGUAAAAUCUCUUGAAUGGAAAAUAUAUUAGUCUGUAGUGUUGGUGAUACAAGGAAUUAGCAAAUUAAACAUCACCUUAGGUAAAAGAGUAGUAGUGUUCAACACAAAGGUGGUGCCAAUUGUGAAUGUGGACUUGCCAAAAACCAAAACAAUAGAAGCAGCUUAAGCAUCACCUUAGUGUAAAGCGAUGCUACCAUCCAACAUAAAGGUGGUGCAAAUUGUGAAAAAAUGGACUUAACAAACACAAGAAAAAAUUGAAUACGUUGUUUGCAAAAUGAUGUGCCAUACAGACUUCAAAGGCUCGCAUCCAAAGGUCUCUGGUUUUAUGCAUCUGUCACAGACUUCCUGUGCAUACGCAUGUGAGGAUAUGAAUGUACUUUACAAUAUACUAAAACUCCGAACCUUAUUAGUACUGCAAAAGCAAAUUGGCGCUGUAAUGUAUUUCAUGUCUCGUUUUAGUAUCCUUCCCCCCAACCCAAAGAGUUUAAGGUAAUACCCCUUGGUCCCCAAAAUCUUAUAAUUGUACCAAAUAGUCCUACAAUCCCCAAGCAUUUGUUUUCUAAUUUGCAAGCAUAAUUGUUUGCUAGCCACAUCUGCUCUAAUAGUUAAAUUGGGCAAAUCAAACUCAAAGGCUCGCAUCCAAAAUUAUCCAAAUAAGGAAUGUACGUGCAGAGUUUUAGGUACAACUCUUUUCUCAGAGUAACAGCAUAAGGAGCAGAAGUAAGCAACAGUAGUAGUGAUAAAGAUUAGGGAUAAUUGCAGAAACCUCCCCUGAGGUUUCUGACAUUUGCACUGACCUUCCCUGUGGUUUGAAAAAUUACACUAACCUCCCCUGAGGUUACUAAUCCUUUACAAAUUCAGUCCAAACGAUUAAAAUAUUGUUUUAGAGAGUGAAAUUCGAAUUUUGUACUAAAUCUGUCCUUUGUACUACACGCCCAAUGAAUGACAAAAUACUACAAAUCAAUUAACAAUUAAUAAACUUUAAGGAAUAUAGUUUAUAGGCAAAUAAGCAUUACCUAUUUAAAGUACCGGCUCUUUACGGGUAUUUUACUUUCACACAUUUAAUUUAAUACAACUAUUUACGCUCAAAUACAGAUUUGUAUUUACUUUCAAAUAAUUUUUGUUAAAUACAAAAACUACCAAUCUCUCUUCCGUAAGAAUAUUAAUAUAACACUUUUUCAAUUUUAGUUAUAACCAUUUAUGUAUUUAAUAUAAAUUAAAUGAUUUAGAAUAAAAUACCCAUAAAGAGCCAAUACUUUACUCAUGUAAUGGAUAAAAGUCAUAAAGAAUUAAUACUUUAUGAAUCAUUUCUUUUUUUUAAAAAAUAUUUAAUUUAUAUUAAAUAAGUAACCUACCGAUUUCAUUUUUGCAAGAAUAUUAUUGUAACACAUUUUAAAUUUUACUUACAAACAUUGAUAUAUUAUCAUAAAUUAAAUGUUUGAAAAUAAAAUAUCCAUAAAAAGUCGCACUUUAAAUGAAUAAUGCGUGUUUGCCCAUAAAGAGUCGGUAACUAUUUAAAGUACCGGCUCUUUACAGGUAUUUUACUUUUAAACAUUUAAUUUAAUACAAAUAUUUACGCUCAAAUACAUAUUUGUAUUUACUUUCAAAUAUUUAAUUUUUAUUAAAUACAAAACCUACCUAUCUCUCUUCCGUAAAAAUAUUAAUAUAACAUUUUUUCAAUUUUAGUUACAAACAUUUAUGUAGUUAAUAUAAAUUAAAUGAUUCAGAAUAAAAUGCACAUAAAGAACGAAUACUUUACUUAUGUAAUGGAUGAAAGUCAUAAAGAAUUAAUACUUUAUGGGCCAUUUCUUUUUUUUUUAAAAAAAUAUUUAAUUUAUAUUAAAUAAAUAACCUACUGAUUUCCUUUUUGCAAGAAUAUUAUUAUAACACUUUUGGAAUUUUACUUACAAAUAUUGAUAUAUUUAUCAUAAAUUAAAUGUUUGAAAGUAAAAUACCCGUAAAGAGUCGGUACUUUAAAUAAGUAAUGCGUAUUGGCCCAUAAAUUAUACUCCUUAAAGUUUAUUAAUUGUUAAUUGAUUUAUAAUACUUUAUCAUUCAUUGGACAUGUAGCACAAAGGACAAAUCUGGUACAAAAUUCUAAUUUCACUCCCUAAAACAAUAUUUUAAUCGUUUGGACUAAAUUUGCAAAGGAUUAGUAACCUCAGGGGAGGUUAGUGUAAUUUUCCAAACUAUAUGGGAGGUCAGUGCAAAUAUCAGAAACCUCAAGAGAGGUUUAUGCAAUUAUCCCUAAAGAUUAUUUCACUACAUUCAGCGUAUUUAUUGCUAGAUUUGUUGUAAUCACUGCAGAUACAUAAAUUGUAGCAGAGGGACAAUGGGUUUGUUUGAAUUGUAAUUUAUUUGGAAUAUUUUUACUGUAGCACUUUUUGUGACGUGAUGUAUGUGAGAUAAAAAGGUAAUGGAGAAGAUAAAAAGGUGUAUUGAAAAUUGUAAUAAUAAUGUAAGCAAAUAAAAUUGGGAAAAUAAUGCUCAAUCCAAACAAACCCACAUUAGUAUUAUAUAUUCAUCAAGCUGAAGGCAAAGGAGUAUAACCAGAUUCUUUUUCUGGUACUUUUUUAGACAGCAUGUUGCUGUUGUGAUGAGAUUUAUAGAAUCGGCAGCAAAAGAGAAAAUAGAAAAGGUUGAUUAAGUUUAAGAAGCCAAGCAGCCAAUAAUAGUAGUCAAGAUGACCUUCAUUCAGGUUGUUGGCCAACCAGCUUGCUUUACCACCAUGACUAGUAAUGCUAUUGAUAAUAUUCACCAGAAGACUUCCAAUCAGGCUAGCCAGAGCCAUCUCCAAUGUGAACAUAGCCACUCCAACACUGGACAUGCUCUUGGGGAACAGCAUGUAAAAGAACUGUAUCUGUCCAAUUGCGAAUAAAGCUUCAGCCAAUCCAAUGCAUACCGUCUGUGGCACUAACCACAUAGCAGACAUGUCCAGGACAGCAUCAGGAUCAUCCUCAACCCCAUCCUCAACUGCUUUUUUCAGCCUUAUGCUCUCGACUACACCUGCCAAUACCAUUGCGAUAAAUGACAU
rnacentral:lncRNA from 1 species